rnacentral:rRNA from 1 species
UACGUAGGGAGCAAGCGUCGUUCGGAUUUACUGGGCGUAAAGGGCGCGUAGGCGGCAAAUUAAGUCAGUUGUGAAAUCUCCGAGCUUAACUCGGAACGGUCAACUGAUACUGCUUUGCUAGAGUGCAGAAAGGGCAAUCGGAAUUCUUGGUGUAGCGGUGAAAUGCGUAGAUAUCAAGAGGAACACCUGAGGCGAAGGCGGGUUGCUAGGCUGACACUGACGCUGAGGCGCGAAAGCCAGGGGAGCAAACGGG